rnacentral:tRNA from 1 species
GGGCGAGUGGCGAAAUUGGCAGACGCGCUACGUUCAGGUCGUAGUGAUCGCAAGAUCAUGGAGGUUCAAAUCCUCUCUCGCCCA